rnacentral:lncRNA from 1 species
CUUACUAGCCAAUUUUCUUUUAUUCCAUCCUUAUUUCUCCCAUUUUAUUCUUUAUUGCACAUUCGUGUUGGGUGUGGUCUCUUAUUCUUUAUUUUUUGGUUUUUCAUAAUUUUUCUUUUAGUUUUUCUUUUUCUUUUCUUUAUCUAACACACCCAACCCUACUAACUUUUUCUCUUAUUUUGCCCUUCUUCAUACCCAUUUUACAUGAUCCACC